rnacentral:rRNA from 1 species
UACGUAGGGAGCAAGCGUUGUCCGGAAUCAUUGGGCGUAAAGCGCGCGUAGGCGGCCCCGUAAGUCCGCUGUGAAAGUCAAAGGCUCAACCUUUGAAAGCCGGUGGAUACUGUGGGGCUAGAGUCCGGAAGAGGCGAGUGGAAUUCCUGGUGUAGCGGUGGAAUGCGCAGAUAUCAGGAGGAACACCAGUAGCGAAGGCAGCUCGCUGGGACGGUACUGACGCUAAGGCGCGAAAGCGUGGGGAGCGAACAGG